UACAGAGGUCUCAAGCGUUGUUCGGAUUCAUUGGGCGUAAAGGGUGUGUAGGUGGCGCCGUAAGUCGGGGUGUGAAAUUUCGGAGCUUAACUCCGAAACUGCACUUGAUACUGCCUUGCUCGAGUACUGGAGAGGAGAUUGGAAUUUACGGUGUAGCAGUGAAAUGCGUAGAUAUCGUAAGGAAGACCAGUGGCGAAGGCGAAUCUCUGGACAGUUACUGACACUGAGGCACGAAGGCCAGGGGAGCAAACGGG
rnacentral:rRNA from 1 species